UCUAGCUCAGGUUUCUCCAUCUUGGCACUGCUGACUUUGGGGACUGAAUAAUUCUUUGUUGGGGUCAGGGAAGGUCUGUCCUGUACAUAGUAGGAUGUUUAGCAGCAUCUCGACUUCUCCCCAUGAGGUUUUCCACUCAUCUAGACCAAUGCCUGGAACAUCGUAUGUGCUCCAAAUGAAUGAAUGAAUGAAUCAAUCAAUCAAUCACGAACUGUGAAGCCUGACCUUGGGAUGAUGGAAAGAGGAUCACUUUCUUGGCCUCCAACCCUGACCCCACAGCAAGAUGACAAGCUACAGAGAAAUCAAGGCUGCGGAUGGAGAGGGUAUCCUAGGAGACAUCUUAAAGGGAUUGGUUUGAUUUGGGGGGAAAAUCACUUUGAUUUUAAGACCCACAUGUUGUUGGAUGUGCCUGCAGUGCCUCGGCCACGUUUUAUUCAUCUACUCCCCCGCGGGUGGACUCUCCGGCUGCCUCCCUCCUCCAUCAUGGGACACAGGAACAGAAUUUUUGGGUCACAGGACUGACUGCGAUGGAGGCUUUAGUCUGGAAACCUACUAACAGAGCAAGUGCCAAAACCUCUUCCCUGUGUCUAGAAGUCUGAAGAGCCACAACGCCUCCCAUCCUCCCUGCAGCACUAGGAUUAACACCUAAAACUACAGGAUUUGGGGUGGAAAAAUUGGAGUCGAGAAGCAGCUAUUCUCCCCUCAACAGCCAUUCUCCCCUCCACUGCCCUGGGGCAGAAGUCAUCCUGGGGUUUAGCUGAGAGGUCUAACAUCUCCAAAGAAUUUGCUUGCAACAUGAGUAUCUAGACAAAGUUCUCAAUGCUACUCAGCAGGAUCUCC